UACGUAGGUGACAAGCGUUGUCCGGAUUUACUGGGCGUAAAGAGCGCGCAGGCGGUCGUUCAAGUCGAGUGUGAAAGCCCCCGGCUCAACUGGGGAGGGUCAUUCGAUACUGAUCGACUCGAAGGCAGGAGAGGGAAGUGGAAUUCCCGGUGUAGCGGUGAAAUGUGUAGAGAUCGGGAGGAACACCGGUGGCGAAGGCGGGUCUCUGGGCCGAUACUGACGCUGAGGAGCGAAAGCGUGGGGAGCAAACAGG
rnacentral:rRNA from 1 species